CCUACGGGUGGCAGCAGUGGGGAAUAUUGGACAAUGGGCGAAAGCCUGAUCCAGCCAUGCCGCGUGUGUGAAGAAGGCCUUCGGGUUGUAAAGCACUUUCAGUGGGGAAGAAAGCCUUGGGGCUAAUACCCUCGAGGAAGGACAUCACCCACAGAAGAAGCACCGGCUAACUCCGUGCCAGCAGCCGCGGUAAUCGGAGGGUGCGAGCGUUAAUCGGAAUUACUGGGCGUAAAGCACGCGUAGGCGGUCUGAUAAGCCGGUUGUGAAAGCCCCGGGCUCAACCUGGGAACGGCAUCCGGAACUGUCAGGCUAGAGUGCAGGAGAGGAAGGUAGAAUUCCCGGUGUAGCGGUGAAAUGCGUAGAGAUCGGGAGGAAUACCAGUGGCGAAGGCGGCCUUCUGGACUGACACUGACGCUGAGGUGCGAAAGCGUGGGUAGCAAACAGGAUUAGAUACCCGUGUAGUC
rnacentral:rRNA from 1 species